CGCUGCCUUUUCUCUGCAAUUUCUUUUUCUUUCUGGUUCUACGUUCCCUCCACCGGUCUCCUCCAUUUUCCCUCCUUCGUUCUCCUCCUUUCUCCUUCAUUCUUCCUCCUUCGUUCUUCUCCUUUCUCCUCCAUUCUUCCUUAUUCGUUCUCCUCCUUUCUCCUCAUUCUUCCUCCUUCGUUCUCCUCCUUUCUUCUCCAUUCUCCUUCAUUACGGUUGCCAUUGUUCUCGUUCGGUCGUCGAGGUGGUUGGGUGAAGCUCGACGUUUGAAGUUGUUCGGCAUUUGAAUUUGUUCAGCGUUUGAAGUUGUUCGGCGUUUGAAUUUGUUCGGCGUUUGAAGUUGUUCGUCGUGGUUGAAGUUCUCGGCUAUGGUGGGUGAAACCCUUGUCGUGGUGUGAUGUCGUCUCGUGGUCUGCCGUGGUUAAAACAAGAUGGUGAAGAGUUUCGGGUUAUGUAUCGCGAAGGACCAGAAGGGACCCCUUUUCAUACAAUGGUUGUGGAAGGCUUUGUAGAUGGACCUGUUGAUGUUUGUUUAUGUAUCUCAUGGGAGACAUGCCUCUACAAAAAAUGGUGGCCUUAGUCUACUGUUCCCACUUUCAAAAUCUUAUCAACUGAAUGCUUGCAGAAGGCUGGGAUUGGGGAGCAGUUAUCACUCGUGAGAAAGGAUGAAGGUUUCAUGGCCUCUGUCUACGAGGGAAGCUAUAGUGCACUAUUAUCUGUUUGAGUACUUUCAAGAUGACUUAAUUGUUGUUCUUACAAACUCGGUUUCUAAGUCGAAGAAUGCCACGGAGACCCUUUAUGGCUUCAACAAUGAAGUAAUUCCUGAAGAAAAAGAUGUUGUGAGAAUUGAUUUGGUGGGAGGCUUUGUUUUGCAAAAUGUGACAUCAGAAAGCAGUUAUUUUCGGAGCGUAGGCAUAAAGUCGUCGACAGUGGAAAACAAACUCUCACACUCUUCCUUCUGCGUUUUCUUCUGCAACAUUCCAAUCCAAUCCGUAACGACAAAACCGUGCGUUUCUCUGUUCAAUCGCAAUUCCUCGCCACUACCUCCGCCGCUCACCGGUCAGUUCCAUGGCCAUCUCCGCCCGCCAAAACCCGAGCUCCGACGCGCGGCUGUUCAAGCUCUGUCCCUUCUGGACUUCGCGGAACGGAUUGUUGUCUUCCAACCAUUCCGAAGCGAACGUUCAAAGGUCCUCCAAAACGGUGUCGUCCGUCGCCAGGUCGCUGCUUCCUCCGCGCCGGAGGCUCCGUCUCGAUCCUUCCAGUUACCUCUACUUUCCAUAUGAACCGGGGAAGCAGGUGAGGAGCGCGGUUCUGUUGAAAAACACGAGCAAGUCUCACGUUGCUUUCAAGUUUCAAACUACGGCGCCAAAAAGUUGUUACAUGCGGCCUCCUGGUGGGAUUCUUGCUCCCGGGGAAAGUU